AGAGUUUGAUCCUGGCUCAGGACGAACGCUGGCGGCGUGCCUAAUACAUGCAAGUCGAACGCCUUUUCUUUCAUCGGAGCUUGCUCCACCGGAAGAAAAGGAGUGGCGAACGGGUGAGUAACACGUGGGUAACCUGCCCAUCAGAAGGGGAUAACACUUGGAAACAGGUGCUAAUACCGUAUAACAAUAGAAACCGCAUGGUUUCUAUUUGAAAGGCGCUUUUGCGUCACUGAUGGAUGGACCCGCGGUGCAUUAGCUAGUUGGUGAGGUAACGGCUCACCAAGGCAACGAUGCAUAGCCGACCUGAGAGGGUGAUCGGCCACAUUGGGACUGAGACACGGCCCAAACUCCUACGGGAGGCAGCAGUAGGGAAUCUUCGGCAAUGGACGAAAGUCUGACCGAGCAACGCCGCGUGAGUGAAGAAGGUUUUCGGAUCGUAAAACUCUGUUGUUAGAGAAGAACAAGGAUGAGAGUAGAAUGUUCAUCCCUUGACGGUAUCUAACCAGAAAGCCACGGCUAACUACGUGCCAGCAGCCGCGGUAAUACGUAGGUGGCAAGCGUUGUCCGGAUUUAUUGGGCGUAAAGCGAGCGCAGGCGGUUUCUUAAGUCUGAUGUGAAAGCCCCCGGCUCAACCGGGGAGGGUCAUUGGAAACUGGGAAACUUGAGUGCAGAAGAGGAGAGUGGAAUUCCAUGUGUAGCGGUGAAAUGCGUAGAUAUAUGGAGGAACACCAGUGGCGAAGGCGGCUCUCUGGUCUGUAACUGACGCUGAGGCUCGAAAGCGUGGGGAGCAAACAGGAUUAGAUACCCUGGUAGUCCACGCCGUAAACG
rnacentral:rRNA from 1 species